CGGAACUUCGCUUCGGUCAUUUUGCCACAGUGGGCGAGAGGAGCAGGGUUGAUGCGUUUCUAGCGUUGAACCAGCAGCAGCAGCUCAGACCAGGGUUCUGCUGGUUGGACAGAAAAUGGUCCUCCCAGCCACCGUAGAGGCUCGGUUGACCUUUACCGAUAUAUUAAGGAGAAGAAGAAAGGCGAGAAUCUCCUCAGGCUGAAUGUCUUCCUGGUGAUUUUCUUGCCAAACGAUGAAGCUGCUGGGUUUUCUCCGCUCAUCUAACUGGUAGAGGAGUUUCUGCAGGAAGGCCUUUCAGUAUUGGAGGCAUGCAGGUGGUGAAACGUUGCAACCUGCUGGGUCGUCUCCAGUGGUUCCAGACCUCAUGCAGCUGAUGAUGGACGGAUUCGGUGAGGACGACUGCUGCUGGUCCCUUUGAUUGUUUUGCAAUUUAUUAAUAAAGUCUGAAAGUUAAA